UACAGAGGGGCAAGCGUUGUUCGGAAUUACUGGGCGUAAAGGGCUCGUAGGUGGCCAACUAAGUCAGACGUGAAAUCCCCUCGGCGUUAACCGGGGAACUGCGUCUGAUACUGGAUGGCUUGAGUGUGGGAGAGGGAUGCGGAAUUCCAGGUGUAGCGGUGAAAUGCGUAGAUAUCUGGAGGAACACCGGUGGCGAAGGCGGCAUCCUGGACCGCGACGU
rnacentral:rRNA from 1 species